UAGAGCCCGUUAUAUAAUAAACCACAGUUGUGGCUUCCAUUGGCACAUCGGCAGGUCUCUCAGUGGGUCACGGGGGUAUUCGUUGAUAAGAGCUCUUUUGCAGCUGCCUCAGUAGUACAGCACGUAAAGGGUAACAUCUAUGACGGCCACGACAACGACAAACGUCUCUGGCGGUCACGCACGGCUAACACGAAGGUUCGUAAUACUUAGCGUGGACACUUUAUCACGAGGUUUACGAGGUACGAAUGGCGGAUCAAUGUCUCUUCACAUCUUAUCUAGAUGUAACGAAGGCGGUGGUAGUCUUGGACUGUGAUUGUGCGCGAUUUGCUUUUACAUAAGAAGAGGUGGCUGCUCGAACUGAAAAGUAGAAAAAGCGAAGUUUUUCUGCGUCUGUUAAUGUGCGCUCGUGGAUUAAAACAAUGGUUUCAGGAUGAUGGCUAUGAAAUUCCGUGGGGAGAUGGGUACAGUUCACAGGUGGCGAUAGGGGCUAACACACUGGCAAGCGUCCCAGCAGGUACUGCAGUGUUUUACCUCAAACAUAACGUUAUUUUCCCUUGCUUCGGGGAUAAUAAUAUCCACAUCAGUAUAAACUAAAGCGUACAUUAAAGCAGCCUUUUUUUUUUACUCCUUCCAGGUUCUCGACCGAUUCCAAGUUGGUUUUGUAGCCGCGCUUGUACCUGGGAAAAAAAGAUUCCGCACUUGUGCAAGCGCUGUUUUCUGACACGUGAAUCGGUGCGGCAUUCCACAAGACUAGGAAGAUCGUGUCUCGACAGGCUCCUUUUCCUCUGGUCUUCUUCGCUGCAGUGGGCAUGGCGAGCGGUUCCAAGAAAAUAAACUUGACUGGCAGUUUAUAUAUAACCUAAAAGAAAAAAGGAAAAUGAUGUGAA